rnacentral:rRNA from 1 species
CCGGUCCCAUCCCGAACCCGGAAGUUAAGCCUUUCAGCGCCGAUGGUACUGCAACCGCGAGGUUGUGGGAGAGUAGGACGCCGCCGGAC